AGAGUUUGAUCAUGGCUCAGAGCGAACGCUGGCGGCAGGCUUAACACAUGCAAGUCGAGCGGGCGUAGCAAUACGUCAGCGGCAGACGGGUGAGUAACGCGUGGGAACAUACCUUUUGGUUCGGAACAACACAGGGAAACUUGUGCUAAUACCGGAUAAGCCCUUACGGGGAAAGAUUUAUCGCCGAAAGAUUGGCCCGCGUCUGAUUAGCUAGUUGGUGAGGUAACGGCUCACCAAGGCGACGAUCAGUAGCUGGUCUGAGAGGAUGAUCAGCCACAUUGGGACUGAGACACGGCCCAAACUCCUACGGGAGGCAGCAGUGGGGAAUAUUGGACAAUGGGCGCAAGCCUGAUCCAGCCAUGCCGCGUGAGUGAUGAAGGCCCUAGGGUUGUAAAGCUCUUUUGUGCGGGAAGAUAAUGACGGUACCGCAAGAAUAAGCCCCGGCUAACUUCGUGCCAGCAGCCGCGGUAAUACGAAGGGGGCUAGCGUUGCUCGGAAUCACUGGGCGUAAAGGGUGCGUAGGCGGGUCUUUAAGUCAGGGGUGAAAUCCUGGAGCUCAACUCCAGAACUGCCUUUGAUACUGAGGAUCUUGAGUUCGGGAGAGGUGAGUGGAACUGCGAGUGUAGAGGUGAAAUUCGUAGAUAUUCGCAAGAACACCAGUGGCGAAGGCGGCUCACUGGCCCGAUACUGACGCUGAGGCACGAAAGCGUGGGGAGCAAACAGGAUUAGAUACCCUAGUAGUCC
rnacentral:rRNA from 1 species